UACGAAGGGGCUAGCGUUGCUCGGAAUCACUGGGCGUAAAGCGCACGUAGGCGGAUUGUUAAGUCAGGGUGAAAUCCCGGAGCUCAACUCCGGAACUGCCUUUGAUACUGGCGAUCUUGAGUCCGGGAGAGGUGAGUGGAACUGCGAGUGUAGAGGUGAAAUUCGUAGAUAUUCGCAAGAACACCAGUGGCGAAGGCGGCUCACUGGCCCGGUACUGACGCUGAGGUGCGAAAGCGUGGGGAGCAAACAGGG
rnacentral:rRNA from 1 species